GCCGGGUGUGUUGGCAUGCACCUGUAAUCCCAGCUACUCGGGAGGCUGAGGCAGGAGAAUCGCUUGAACCCAGGAGGCAGAGGUUGCAGUGAGCCGAGAUCACGCCACUGAACUCCAGCCUGGGCGACAGAGCGAGACUCCGUCUCAA
rnacentral:SRP_RNA from 1 species